GACGAACGCUGGCGGCGUGCUUAACACAUGCAAGUCGAACGGAAAGGCCCUGCUUUUGUGGGGUGCUCGAGUGGCGAACGGGUGAGUAACACGUGAGUAACCUGCCCUUGACUGUGGGAUAACUUCAGGAAACUGGGGCUAAUACCGGAUAGGAGCUCCUGCUGCAUGGUGGGGGUUGGAAAGUUUCGGCGGUUGGGGAUGGACUCGCGGCUUAUCAGCUUGUUGGUGGGGUAGUGGCUUACCAAGGCUUUGACGGGUAGCCGGCCUGAGAGGGUGACCGGCCACGUUGGGACGGAGCUGCGGCCCGGCCUCCUCCGGUAGGCAGCAGUGGGGAAUAUUGCACUAUGGGCGGAAGCCUGAUGCAGCACCGCCGCGUGCGGGAUGACGGCCUUCGGGUUGUAUACCGCUUUCGCCUGUGACGAAGCGUGAGUGACGGUACCGGGUAAAGAAGCACCGGCUAACUACGUG
rnacentral:rRNA from 1 species